CAGAAGGGGUUUGAGGCAGGGAGGAACCUGUACAGAUAGGCUGCUGGGAUGAUGGAUGCAUGGGAGAUAAGACUGGGGACAAGGAGGCUGGAAGGAGGUUGUUAUCGAGGGAUUAUAGCCUGAGCUGGGACACAAGAUAUGAGGAGGAAGGGGAAGGGCUGGAUCUGAGGAAUAUUUAGGAGGAAAAUGUAUAGGACUUGGCAAUUGAUUGGCUGUUUGGGUGGAGGAGAGAGACACUAAGGAUGACACCUAGGUGAUUAGGGGGACAGGAAAGUUGCUUAAAUUCCCCAAGUCCCCGCCUUGGGGGUUGAGGGAGACCAGGCCGGGUUGAACAUCAAUAAAGUGCACGGCUGAUAGGCUUUUAUUACAGACUGGGGGCAGUAACGGCUGGACAGAGAACGGAAAAGGAACAUCUGAGACCAGGCUCAAAGCUAGGGAGAUACACAACCUCCAAUAACACAAGGUGGGUGCAGCACUUCUAGACACACACACAGACACACAUCACUUACUCAUAAACGGCACAGCCUACGGUACAAGAAAAAGGGCAAGGUAGGUAAGGGCACCCAACACCCUCCUGCCUGCAGGGGGCCACAGGGUUAAUGUGCCUUCCUGCACGCAGGCUUAAGAGGGAUAAACAAGGAGAGGGCUGCCCUUGGAGAAGGCCUGCGAAUAAUAGUGACUGAGGCACAGGUCCAUGCAGGGGAAGGAAGCACAGUUCACAGAGUGGCAAGCUCAAUGCCAGCCAGUGCAAGCAACAGUCAGUUCUUUGAUCCUGGCUUAGUCACAGCAAACAUUUACCCAGCCUGGCUCCUCUCCAUAGCCAGCAGGUUGCUUGCUCAUCCAGUCUGUCCCUGGUCAGCGGGCAUGUGCUCAAGGAG
rnacentral:lncRNA from 1 species